CAGACUCCUACGGGAGGCAGCAGUGGGGAAUAUUGGACAAUGGGGGGAACCCUGAUCCAGCGACGCCGCGUGAGUGAAGAAGUAUUUCGGUAUGUAAAGCUCUAUCAGCAGGGAAGAAAGAAAUGACGGUACCUGACUAAGAAGCCCCGGCUAACUACGUGCCAGCAGCCGCGGUAAUACGUAGGGGGCAAGCGUUAUCCGGAUUUACUGGGUGUAAAGGGAGCGUAGACGGCAGUGCAAGUCUGAAGUGAAAGGCGGGGGCCCAACCCCCGGACUGCUUUGGAAACUGUGCUGCUGGAGUGCAGGAGAGGCAAGUGGAAUUCCUAGUGUAGCGGUGAAAUGCGUAGAUAUUAGGAGGAACACCGGCGGCGAAGGCGGCCUGCUGGACUGCAACUGACGUUGAGGCCCGAAAGCGUGGGGAGCAAACAGGAUUAGAUACCCCGGUAU
rnacentral:rRNA from 1 species